rnacentral:rRNA from 1 species
AGUGAACGCUGGCGGUAGGCCUAACACAUGCAAGUCGAACGGCAGCACAGUAAGAGCUUGCUCUUACGGGUGGCGAGUGGCGGACGGGUGAGGAAUACAUCGGACUCUACUUUUUCGUGGGGGAUAACGAAGGGAAACUUACGCUAAUACCGCAUACGACCUACGGUUGAAAGCAGUGGAUCUUCGGACCUUGCGCACUUGAAUGAGCAGAUGUCGGAUUAGCUAGUUGGCGGGGUAAAGGCCCACCAAGGCGACGAUCCUUAGCUGGUCUGAGAGGAUGAUCAGCCACCCUGGAACUGGGAAACGGUCCAGACUCCUACGGGAGGCAGCAGUGGGGAAUAUUGGACAAUGGGCGCAAUCCUGAUCCAGCCAUACCGCGUGGGGGAAGAAGGCCUUCGGGUUGUAAAGCCCUUUUGUUGGGAAAGAAAAGCAGCAGGUUAAUACCCCGCUGUUCUGACGGUACCCAAAGAAUAAGCACCGGCUAACUUCGUG